ACGUCAUCCCCACCUUCCUCCGAGUUGACCCCGGCAGUCUCUCACGAGUCCCCACCAUUACGUGCUGGCAACAUGAGACAAGGGUUGCGCUCGUUGCGGGACUUAACCCAACAUCUCACGACACGAGCUGACGACAGCCAUGCACCACCUGCACACAGGCCACAAGGGAAUACCUAUCUCUAGGCACGUCCUGUGCAUGUCAAACCCAGGUAAGGUUCUUCGCGUUGCAUCGUAUUAAUCCACAUGCUCCGCCGCUUGUGCGGGCCCCCGUCAAUUUCUUUGAGUUUUGGCCUUGCGGCCGUACUCCCCAGGCGGGGUACUUAAUGCGUUAGCUACGGCACGGAUCCCAAGGAAGGAAACCCACACCUAGUACCCACCGUUUACGGCGUGGACUACCAGG
rnacentral:misc_RNA from 1 species